GGGCAGAGGAUGUGAAACAUUUAGACACUGCGGCCUUUCCGGUCUUUGAUGAUCUAAAAUUGAGCUUUUUAAAACUGAUGCUUA